rnacentral:misc_RNA from 1 species
CUAAGGAGCAUUCUCCACGCCGGCUCGAAGAGUCGAGUGCUGGUUGUGGCAGAGGCCAUUUCGAACUCGAAUGUGGUUCGGUGGUUGCUCAUGGGUGGAACGCUGACAAUCUCCAUCACGUACGGCUGCAGCCGAGUCUGUGGUGCUGGUGGAUAUAUCAACACACUGUUGGGUCCUGAAAGAACAGGCGUUCUCUCCAGGCAAAAAAUACGAUCUGCUCGGAUUUUCUGAGAUACUGCCGGUUCGGCCGGUAAGUCCUGAUGUUCGAUCUGAGUGGGUGUGUUGUUUGAGAACUGCACAGUGAACGCGAGCAUCUUUGUUUUGUAAGUUUUUAAGAGCGUAC